ACCAAUUUAUUGAAUUUAUAUGUUGCUACUAUAUUUAAUGAAUUUAGUUGCCGUCCGAGCUACGCUGGACACAAACUAUAAAAGUAGAAACUUCGAUCUGAAUAUUGUCUUUUACAAUAUUGUCUUUGUAGUGCCAUGUCCUGGCACAGAAGAAUUAUUUUUAUCCUAAUUAAAUAAAGCUGGAAUUUAAAAUAAAAUAUAAUUGUCAAGGGAAAAUAUUCUCUUGGCCCUGCCCCUUGGGAAGUCAAACUUACCAAAUUCUUCAUCCUACUCCGAUGUUUUCUGAUUAAAAUUAACAAAAAUCACCAAACUUUUGCAAUUUUCAAUUUAGAGUCACAACUUUAAAGAUAAAACUGGAUUGCUUAAAUUGUGGGAUACCAGUCAUUAUAGACUCCGAGAAGUUGAUAUUGGACGACCAUUGAAUGCCGUGAAACGAUUUCGAGUAAGACAGAGUAAUCCCCCACCUAAAGGAAUAUGUGUUGAUGGUACUCGACCAACGUUGAAGCUUCCCUCAAGUGCUCUAACAAUUCUUCGUCAAUGGUUCACAGAACACAUAGACCUACCAUAUCCAACGCAUGAAGAAAAGGCAUACCUUGCCAAAGAAACUGGACUCACCCUACUUCAAAUUAAAACAUGGAUGUCUAAUACCCGGCGUAGACAAAAGCAACACCCCGGUGAAUCGUCUGAAAAUAAAUGGGGCACUGUAAUACUUGCCAACAUUCAGAAAAUGAAGUAUGUUGGUGAACAGAAAGAAAAAGAAGAUGAAGAAAGUAGCCCUGGUGUCAGUUGUUCUACCACGAGAACAGAUGCCAUUGACAUUAACAAUAAACACCCCAGUACCUUCAACCCUAUGGAUUCAGAAAAUAGACCCUCCAGUAUCCCCAAAUCAUCGGUGCGUAAUAAUGCCAGCACCUUUAACCAACUGAAAGAAGAAAUUGUCCAGUCUUCUGAAAGCUUAGGGGCACUGCAAAAUAUCUGCAACAACUUAAAAGGAAGGUGUUUUUGGAAUGGCAUUCGGGAAACUGUAAAUAAACCAUAUCCUACAGCUUUGUCAGACAUCCGUACUGAUUUGGUGCCACAAAAACAUGAAUCUAAUAUACCUCCCAACAACCAGGAUCAUCAAGAAGUAAACAGUGACAUGGUUUAUGUAGUUCCGUACUAUACAAGCUAUUCUGUAGCCAUGUCAACACCUACAUCACUGUACCAACCAAGUAUGUCUACAACAAUAUCGCCAAGAUACAGUACUGUUGAGUCACUACACCGCCGCCCCUCCGUAAGCUCUGCGCAUUUCGGAGACCAACAUAUUUGGAAAAGAACAGACUUUCUAACCCCUAGUUCAAACACAAGCCAAGAUUCAAGAAAUCAAUUGGUCUGUUCAAUAGAUACUGAGAUGAAAGGUAUGACAGAAAUUGCCCAAGUUUUGUUAGAUUUAUCUUCACACAUUCCUUCAAAUUCCAACGAUUGAUCCGCUAGCUGGUCUGUUAAUUAUGUCUCAUAAAUUCUAAUAUGGAUACUAUUAAACGGCAUCUUCAACAUUUUCAUGUAUUAAACCUUCGUUAUUUAUUGAUAAAUGAAAAGGCACAAGUUCAUGGGUACGUACGUAUAAAUACUGAUACUGAAUUUAUUGCAACGCAAUUUUCCAACGAAGAUACCCUGGUCUUCAUCAUGCAAAUCAUACGAUUAAAUAUGUGGAUAGUUGACAAAUUAUGUAUGCAACAAUGAUAACAAUGAAACUCAAUAGAGGCCUUAAGCACUUAAAAGAUUUUAGUGCCCCCAUACCAUUAUAUAUAUAAUUCAAAAUGAUAAACCAUAAAAUUAGAUUUUUUUCGAAAUUAAACAAAUUAAAAUUAAGAUUAAAAAUAAUGUUUAUUUGUGUUAAUUGAAAAAUUUCUCCUAAUUGCAAAGUCUUUGUUCAGAUCCUCCAAAGUAAGUAACAUAUUUACGUGGUAUCCAGCCGUUCUGUUGGGAUUUUCAAUAUACUUCAACAGAGGAGCUUUUCGUGAACCAGGCCAUUUGCAAUUUUGCAACUUAUAGUAUCCGGCAAAUUUAUGAUGCCUUAGCCCGUGCUUAUUUUGCUUAAUGGUAAAUCCAACACUCGGAGUUGUGGAAUCGUGGGAAUAAUAACAUUUCAUCCCAAGUAAUAAAUUCAGUAAUUAUGUACCAUAAAAUUGUAAAUACGUUCAAUUACUAAAUGCCUAUCAUGAGAAUUUAAACAAUUAUAUAUUUAUUAGGAGUUAUUUAUUCCCAGUGUAAAAUUAUUACAAGUGUUUUUAUGAUAGUUUAAGAAAGUUAUUGAUGUUAGCCUGAUAUUUUGUGAAGUUCGACAAUGUAAAUGG